AACCUGGUUGAUCUUGCCAGUAGUCAUAUGCUUGUCUCAAAGAUUAAGCCAUGCAAGUGAAAGUAUAUGCAUAUUUUAUAUGUAGAAACUGCGAACGGCUCAUUAAAACAGUUAUAAUCUACUUGACAUUUUUUCUAUAAGGAUAACUACGGAAAAGCUGUAGCUAAUACUUGCUUUAGCACUCUUGAUUCAUUUCUUGAGUGUGUACUUGUUAAGCCUUUUAAGAAAAAAGUUAUUAACUUAAGGAAUUAUAACAAAGAAGCGACACAUAAUGGAUCCGUCCAUUUUUAGUGUGUAUCAAUCGAGUUUCUGACCUAUCAGCUUUUGAUGUUAGGGUAUUGGCCUAACAUGGCUAUGACGGGUAACGGGGAAUUAGAGUUCGAUUCCGGAGAGGGAGCCUGAGAAAUAGCUACCACAUCUAAGGAAGGCAGCAGGCGCGUAAAUUACCCAAUUCUAAAGAAGAGAGGUAGUGACAAGAAAUAACAAUACAAGGCCAAUCUGGCUUUGUAAUUGGAAUGAUGGGAAUUUAAAACCUUCCCAAAACUCAAUUGGAGGGCAAGUCUGGUGCCAGCAGCCGCGGUAAUUCCAGCUCCAAUAGCGUAUAUUAAAAUUGUUGCAGUUAAAACGCUCGUAGUUGAAUUUCAAAGAAUCGAUAUUUUAAGCAACGCUUCUAGCUUAAUCCACAUAACUGAUACUUCGUAUCGACUUUGUGCGCAUUUUGCUAUUAUGUGUUCUUUUAAUUAAAAUGAUUCUUUUUAAGGACUUUCUUUGCUUCGGCAUGGAAGUCCUUGUUACUUUGAGUAAAUUAGAGUGUUCAAAGCAAACAGAUAUAGCAUUGCGCGUUUGAAUACUACAGCAUGGAAUAACAAAAUUGAACAAGUCAGAAUUUUGUUCUUUUUUCUUAUUUUGGCUUAGUUACGAUUAAUAGGAGUAGCUUGGGGGCAUUUGUAUUCAGAUGUCAGAGGUGAAAUUCUUAGAUUUUCUGGAGACAAACAACUGCGAAAGCAUUUGCCUAAAAUACUUCCAUUAAUCAAGAACGAAAGUUAAGGGAGUGAAGACGAUCAGAUACCGUCGUAAUCUUAACCAUAAACUAUGCCGACUAGGCUUUGGAUGAAAGAUUUUAAAAUAAGAAUUUUCUCUUCGGAGUUUAUUCUUAGAUUGCUUCCUUCAGUGCCUUAUGAGAAAUCAAAGUCUUUGGGUUCUGGGGCGAGUAUUCGCGCAAGCGAGAAAGUUAAAAGAAUUGACGGAAGGGCACCACCAGGCGUGGAGCUUGCGGCUUAAUUUGACUCAACACGGGAAAACUCACUAGUUUAAGACAAGAGUAGGAUUGACAGAUUAAUAGCUCUUUCUUGAUUUCUUGGAUGGUGAUGCAUGGCCGUUUUUAGUUCGUGAAUAUGAUUUGUCUGGUUAAUUCCGAUAACGAACGAGAUCUUAACCUGCUAAUUAGCGGCAAAUACGACAUAUUCUUACGUGGGACUGAAUUCGGUUGAUUUGCUUACUUUGAAGAAAAUAUUGGGAUACGUAACAGUUUCCCUUUCCCUUUUCUACUUAGUUCGCUUUUCAUACUGUUUCUUUUUCGCGUAAGAAUGUAUUUGCUUGAUUGUAAAGCUUCUUAGAGGAACGAUGUGUGUCUAACACAAGGAAGUUUAAGGCAACAACAGGUCUGUGAUGUCCUUAGAUGAACUAGGCUGCACGCGUGCUACACUGAUAUGUAUAACGAGUUAUUAAAAUUACGAUUCAGCUUGCUGUUUCGUAUUUUUCCUCCACUGAAAAGUGUAGGUAAUCUUUAUCAGUACAUAUCGUGAUGGGGAUAGAUUAUUGCAAUUAUUAAUCUUGAACGAGGAAUGCCUAGUAAGCAUGAUUCAUCAGAUUGUGCUGACUACGUCCCUGCCCUUUGUACACACCGCCCGUCGCUCCUACCGAUUGAAAGAUAUGAUGAAUUGUUUGGACAAGAAGAAGGGGGAUUAUAUCUCCUUUUUUCUGGAAAAACCGUAAAUCCUAUCUUUUAAAGGAAGGAGAAGUCGUAACAAGGUUUCCGUAGGUGAACCUGCGGAAGGAUCAUUA
rnacentral:rRNA from 2 species